CACAACACAACACAACACAACACGGGCAAUCAAAAUCAAAAUGCCAAUGAGCCACAAAACUGUAGAAAAAGCGGAACAACAAAACAAGUGAAGUGUACAACGAGUAGCUUGCCACUGACGUACUAUCAUCUGUAUGUAUUUGCUAUAUGUAUUCUCGCCACUGUUCCGUACCUGAUAAAUUAUUGUUUAAUGAUAAUGUUGUUUAUUUAAUAAAAUGUAUCUGAAUAACAA